ACGCGUGUGAGCUCUCAGUGGUCCGCCCGUCGGCACCAGUCCCCGGUCAGUGGGAGACCGGAGCUCCCAGUGUAACGGUCCCGGAGCGGGAGACAGGAGCCUUUACGCACGGAAUCCUGGAGGACAUGGAGUGCGUGGGAAGGACUCGGACUGUGUGAGAAGUUUGUCCCUCAGACAUGGAGCCGCAGACGAGAAGACGCGUGAAGUCCCUCUUCAUCAUCUUCAUCAUCUUCAUCACUCGAGCCUGUCUCUGAGGUGAGGAGGAGGAGGAUGAGACCCGCACCGCGCCUGGCGAGGACCGACGCGCUGCUCCAGGCUGGUUGUCUCUGAGCAGGAGCGAGUCUCUGUCUCCGGCUCUGAGGACACACAUCGAGACCCUGUGUCCCCGCUUCAGAUCCGCUGCGGCUGCGGGAACUGCGCAUUUGUUGCUUUGAUCCUUUGUUGCUUUGAUCCUUUGAAGACUGCAAGGAAACAAUAGUUGGCUCGUACGAGAACAUCUUGAACUCACAGGUGAUGUCUCUGCCUCAGAGAUUCAAACUGUGCACAGGCUUCAUCUCAUCUCACCCUGACAUGUCUGCACCUCGCGCCUCUUCACGCUGUUCCACUGCUGACACUUCACGUCUCCUGGAAAUCGAGAAAUAAAAGAGAAUAGAAACCCUCCCCUCCUGCUCUGCACACCAGGCUGAUCUCUGGGGUUCUGACUCACCAUGGGCACUGUACUGUCAUUGUCGCCCGGCUCUCGCAAGUCAGGCUACUAUGACAACCGCCCGGGCUCGCUCAGCCACUACCCGAGCAUCAGCAGCCGCUCGCUCAACAGAAGGCCCGCGGGCUGAAGAGGGGCCAGUCCAUCUUCCUCCCGGCGCUCACGUGGAAGCGACUGGUGGCCUCCACCAAGAAGAAGGGCAACUCCAAGAAGGGCCCCGGCUGCCCGGCGGCCCUCGGGGAGCCGCUCAACAACAGCAUCAACAUCUACCAAAAUGACCCUUUGCUGCACCUCAACCGCGAGAAUGUGAAGAAGUCGUUGUCCUGUGCCAACCUGAGCAGCUACGAGGGCCCAGCGGGACUGGGCCUGGGGCUGGGCUACGGGAUGGGGCUGGGUCAGGGGCACGGAUACGCCUACAGCAAAUCCCAGCUGCUCUCCUCUGUGUCCUACUCCUACAUGGGCAACGAGAUCUCCUACCCGCUCAAGCCCUCCCUGGUGGAGGUUGUUUUUUACACCCAAACGAGAAUAAAUGCAUCACAACAGGAGAAUCGUGGAUCUGAUCUGUUUUAUAAAUACAAACUAGAAUCAACAGGUCAGGUGUGUUUCCUACAAACUGUGACAGCAUGUGGCCUGUAGGUGGUGCUGCAGCAGCAGGGAAAAGAUAACCCUCUGCUCGUGACCUGAUCUAUUAUCAGACAUAGUAAAGUUAAUGAUCCUAAAGUGUUAGGGUUAAUACAAGAUAUUAGACAUAAGACUAUAAUACAACUAAGUGAAAAUGUUUGAUGAAAAAGAAGAAGAAAGGACAAAAUAAAAUGCCAACUGCACAUUUCUAUGUAUAUAUACAUAUGCGUUUUUAUAAAUAUUUCCUUUGGUUAUUGUCAUUCUCUCGUCUCCCUCAUUCAGACCCAGCUAAUGCUGUAAAAAGUGAAUUUCCCCAGUGUGUGGAUCGAUAAAGUUUUAUCUUACCUUAUCUAAACACUAAAUGCACAGAGACUUGUGUUUGCACCUACAACCUCACAAACUUCCACAUACCUAUAUCAUAAGAUAUAUUAAAUAUCAUUUUGACACAA